rnacentral:ncRNA from 1 species
GAGAGAUUAAAAGCCAUGAAGAAAGUGUUAAUCAAGCCUCACCUGUAACUGUAUCAGGAAUAACACACCUAAGAAUUAGGUGCAAAUAUGACAGUCUAGAUCCCACAUAAACAGAGUUCAAAUUCAAUGGCACAUGGACAACAAAGACAUCCAUCUUGGUUCUGUUCACUGACUUCUCGUCAGAUAACGUUUGACUAAAACUCUCCAAUGGUUUACACCUACGAGAUAAACUGAGAAUGAAGAAUAAAUUCAUAUAGAGAAAUUUAACCACGAAGGCAGAUGCUGACAGAUUUUGCACAGCCCAGAUCUGACCUAUGCCAAGGGUUUAUAGUGACAUUGCUUUUUGAUCCUUCAAUGUCGUCUCUUACUUCCAUUGUAGGACAGGAUUCACCAAGCGUUGGAUUAUUCACCCACUAAUGGGGAACGUGCUGGGAUUAGACUGAUGGGAGACAAGGUAGUUUUACCCUACUGAUGAUGUGU